rnacentral:rRNA from 1 species
UACGUAGGGUCCAAGCGUUAUCCGGAAUCACUGGGCGUAAAGCGUGCGUAGGCGGCGUGUUAAGUGUGAUGUUAAAUCGUGUGGCUCAACCAUAUCGAUGCAUCGCAUACUGGCAUGCUUGAGGAAGGCAGAGGCAAGUGGAAUUUGUAGUGUAGCAGUGAAAUGCGUAGAGAUUACAAGGAACACCAAUGGCGAAGGCAGCUUGCUGGGCCUUUUCUGACGCUGAGGUACGAAAGCGUGGGGAGCGAACAGG